rnacentral:lncRNA from 1 species
CACAGGUCUUCUAAUCUAGGGCAUCCUCAGUUAACGGAUCAUCAUUGUGAGAUCACUCAACUGGUUACUGCUGCCAGCUCUGCUCUCCAUUAAGUGUCCUUGUUGAGUUUGCCUCCAGUGACAGCUGGAGCAAGAACACAGUCAUCUGGGGCCACAUCUCGCUGACACUGGCUCAGUGACCAGGAUCCUUCCUGUGAGCCAAACCCAACCAGAAGCUGGAGGGAACAGGAGUCAGUUCCAUUAAGAUCAGCCACUGGGGACAGAGAUCCAGGUGGAGAAUGCUGAAGAAAGCAUCUGGAUGUGCAAAGUUGCCUGAGGGAUUCUGCUGCUUUUGAAGCCCAGUCCAGUCCAGUGUGCCUCGCUGGCACUGCCACAUCAACCCAAUUCUCGGUCUCCUCUCCAGGCAAUGUCAUUUGGCAAAGUUAAUACACUUGCUGGUUGGUCUGGGCUCUUCUCCACUGCAGCCUUCCAAUGAGUGCCAGCCGUCUUUCUCAGCAAAGCGAAUUUGUUCAUCUGUUUACGUGUCAGAGCUUUCUAUUGCACUCAAGUGUCCGCACUUAGGACUCAAUUACCAGGCAUAACAAGAAUCAACUGUAUAUUUCUCCUUCCACUCACUAAUCAACUUCUCCAGAAAGUGGUUUUCACUCGAAACCUCUAUUUCAUCACAAUACUUCCUGCCAGAAUAUUUUAUUAUCUGACUCACAUCUGCACCCUACGACAUUCUCAGAACCCAAGAGAGAAAUUCCGCCAGACCUCAGGACAGGGGGAAUGAGGGACCCCCUCAGGACUCUCAGCUGCCUUCUGAGUGUCAGUGUCCUUCUUCCCUCUCUCCCUUUGCAGUUUGACCUUCUCUGGACUUUUUGGUCUAUAUGGAAGAAGAAUGGCAGCCAAAGCCAUUGAGUUUUACAUCCUCCCAUCCAAUUAACUGAAGACAGACUGACUCUCUUCUUGGUUCCGUAUAUCCUGAGAAAGACUUAGGACCCAGGUUGGGUCAGGUGCUGCAACCCUGGAUAUUCAGCUGAGGCUGGUAUGUGUGUGUGUG